rnacentral:tRNA from 1 species
GCCAGGGUAGCUCAAUGGAAGAGCAAUGGUUUUGUAAACCAUAGGUUGGAGGUUCAAAUCCUCUCCCUGGCU